UGCCAUUUUAUGUUUGGACACAACGCCGUUUCUUCUGGUCGUCCCGUGUGUCGCUGGGAAACCUACACUCCCCACUGCGAUAGGCAGUCAAGUAUUUUUAACCUGCACAUUUUUGUUUUUAUUUCCCGUAUUUUUAUUUUUUUAUGCUCAGAAAUAUCAUGACUCAUGACUUAAGGCUGGAAGGAGUUGAGAGUCCCCACUUAACUGCAUGCCUUCCGAACAUAUUAGACUCCAUUUUACAUGCUACCAUUUUACCGGUACACGAAAUUUCAAAUUUUGGCGAGCGUACAUUUUCGAUUGACUAUAUACCAAUUACUGUGGGCCCCUUUAAAAAUAGCUAAAUUUUAAGAAUACAACACAAAACAACGUACCACAAUACAAAACUACUACAGAAUACAAUGCAGUGCAACGCAAUGCAAUUUAAUGCAAUGCAAUGCAACGCAACGCAAUCCGACGUGAGGUAGGUAAUUGUAACGCAAUGCAGUGCAACAGCAAUGCAAUUGAAUGCAGUGCAAUGCAACGCAACGCGGUGCAAUAUGCAACAAGAACAAUAUUCAACUUCCAACACCAACACUAGUGCCUAUGUUAGUUUUAGUUAUGAUGAAAGUGCCAUUCAGGGGUAUAAGUGUAUGAACGUUUUAUAAAAAUGUUCAGUAGGUUUAGACAAGUAUAUAUAGUGUUAUUAAACUGCAUGCUAAAAUUUUGUGUUGACUGUUAAAAUGGUCGCUUGUAAGUGGGGGUAACUUGCUAGGAUUUGCACAUUUAAAUAUCUACAAGUGCAUUAGGUCUCUUAGGUUUAAGUUUAAGACCAACAUGAACGAGUGAGAUAAACUCGACCAGCUAAGUUAAGGCUUCAAGCGUGAAAUCCAUGCAUUACACCCCUCAGGAUCGGACCCCAAACCUUUUUUCAACACCAAAUGUGAAAUUACCCCCACCUUACCACAACGUUGGAGAAUAAUGUUGGAUUUCCUGGGCAAAUGUGCAUUAUUUUGGUGGAUAUCUUGGGCAAAAGUGCAAUAUAAGAAACAGAAAAUCCGAAGUUAAGUAUUUAGUAUCAAUUUGAUGUGAAAUCUGCUAUUUUAGCGAGUCAAAUUGUUAAAACUACUUGUCGAAGUUGAUGAUGCAAAGUCGUUUUGUUCUGGCAUAAAGAUACUGAAUGUUGGUUUAAAAUAGUAGAGAGAUGAGUGUAUAAAGUAUUUUGGAGCUCAAUAUGUUUUAAAAUUUAUCAUUUUAGCAAAAACAAGAAAUGUUUGAACACAACCCGUUCUUUCUGGUCGUCCUGGUAUAAAUGGACUGGGUACGAGUCUGGUAAAGUGCAUCAUUCUGAGCUGAAAUUCUUAUACCAUGUAAUUGCGCGCAGGAUUUUAUUUGGAUUUAUCCUUAAAGCCGGGACUGAAUUUAAAGCACGGGUAGCCUGCGAACAGGCUCUCAAGCUGAAUUGAGAGCCUGCAUCGAUGACUAAUGAAUUUGAAUAUCUGCGUCUCAAAUCGUGACGCGAAAUUCUCAUUGGUCAGAUGCUGUAAUUUAUAUGUUUCCGCUGAGCUCUAUAUAUGUCAACUGCUCAAGCAGCACUAUGCAUAAAGUCCAUAAAAAAACACAUUAACUGAUCAAAUUGGUCUUGGCCGUCUUAUAUCAAAGCACGAAAUGUUCUGUUUUGAGAAAACAGUAUUUAAAACAUUUGAACUUUCGCUUGAAUAUCUUAUAUUUCGAAAAACAGUAUAAACUGUACGGUCUAAAUUUAGUUUGCACGGUCUAAAUUUAGUUUGCACGAAAGUUGUAAACAACACCAUAUAAGGAUAGACAUUCCAUAUUUGGAAAAACGAACGUUACGGGGCAGAUAUUCAAAUUCAUUAGUUAUCGAUGCAGGCUCUCAAUUCAGCUUGAGAGCCUGUUCGCAGGCUAAAGCACGGGUAGCUGAGAUGUUCCAUUUGAUCAGCCCCUAAUUUACUCCUUAAUGUUAUCACUGUAUGUAUGAGAAGAUUAUGAUUUGCAAGAUAAAAGAAUGGUAAAUAUAUAUAAUAUGGAUAUAUUACAUCGCAUGAAAAUGGAUGGAUUAACAGAAAUGUAUUUCUAUUUUUGAAAGCAAAAAUGCUGAUUUGCCUGAUUGAAUGGAUUAUUAUUACAUCAAAUGCAAUGCCCGCAUUGGCAAUGGGAUGGAAUCUGCCAUGUAUUAUUAAAUUACCAUAUAAUUGUAUCCAACCUACCAUAUAGAUGUCAGGAACAUGGAUGUCAGGAACAUUGUAUGUCAAGAUAUUACAUACCUUUAUAUGUACACUAACCUAACAAGUUAUUGGACAAUGAUGGCCAACAAUGGACACUACCUGUACAUGCUAAAUAAAUACGAAACAUAUACAUAUUGGACCAUAUUGGACAAAAAAACUUGUUGGAAAAUACAGUAGACUAUCAUUACUUGGAAAGAAUAUGAAAACUUGCAACAAACUAGAUAUAUCACGUUAAAAGACAUAUGUUUGUUCUUCCUAAAUCUUAAUUGUGUUCUUCUAACGUUUUGACAAGUGAAGACGGUUUAAAACAUUUGUACCAACAAUCAUAUGUACAAAAUAAACUCAUACAUACAGUGUGUUUCAAGAAAUGAAGUUUAUUGGUAUAACCAAUCAGGGCUUUGGUCGUAAGGCAGCACUUGUGCUUGAAAAUAUUUUUUAAAGAUUUUAAAGGCAUUAAAGUUUUAAAUGUG
rnacentral:lncRNA from 1 species